AGUCAGCAGCUUCCACCAAGACAAACCUGUGUCUGCUUUGCAGGAGCUUGUCAAGAAUCCUGGUGACUAAGGACUGGUUUGAAAAUAACCGGUAUUGUCCACGGGCUGAUCAUAGGAGUUGGUCUUUGGAAUUUCACUCUUGUGGCCCAGGCUGGAGUGCAAUGGCGUGAUCUCAGCUCACUGCAACUUCUACCUCUCGGAUUCAAGUGAUUCUCCUGCCUCAGCCUCCCAGGUAGCUGGGUUUACAGAGUUUCACUCUUGUUGCCCUGGCUGGAGUGUAACAGCGUGAUCUCGGCUCACUGCAACCUCCGCCUCUCAGGUUCAAGCGAUUCUCCUGCCUCAGCCUCUCGAGUAGCUGGGAUUACAGGGCGGAAUCUUUGUUUACUCACUCUGAGUACAAAUGGAAAGUCUGGAUAAUUCUGAGCUUCUGUAUUUGGAAACCCAUUGUGGCUAUUCAUAUAAACUAUCUAGUUUAAUAAAAAUAAUGUUUG
rnacentral:lncRNA from 1 species